rnacentral:rRNA from 1 species
GUGAUAGCCCCGUACACUAAAAUGCACAGGUCGUGAGUUCGAUGAGUAGGGCGGGACACGUGACAUCCUGUCUGAAUAUGGGGGGACCAUCCUCCAAGGCUAAAUACUCCUGACUGACCGAUAGUGAACCAGUACCGUGAGGGAAAGGCGAAAAGAACCCCGGCGAGGGGAGUGAAAUAGAACCUGAAACCGUGUACGUACAAGCAGUGGGAGCACCUUCGUGGUGUGACUGCGUACCUUUUGUAUAAUGGGUCAGCGACUUAUAUUUUGUAGCAAGGUUAACCGUAUAGGGGAGCCGUAGGGAAACCGAGUCUUAACUGGGCGAAUAGUUGCAAGGUAUAGACCCGAAACCCGGUGAUCUAGCCAUGGGCAGGUUGAAGGUUGGGUAACACUAACUGGAGGACCGAACCGACUAAUGUUGAAAAAUUAGCGGAUGACUUGUGGCUGGGGGUGAAAGGCCAAUCAAACCGGGAGAUAGCUGGUUCUCCCCGAAAGCUAUUUAGGUAGCGCCUCGUGAACUCAUCUUCGGGGGUAGAGCACUGUUUCGGCUAGGGGGCCAUCCCGGCUUACCAAACCGAUGCAAACUCCGAAUACCGAAGAAUGUUAUCACGGGAGACACACGGCGGGUGCUAACGUCCGUCGUGAAGAGGGAAACAACCCAGACCGCCAGCUAAGGUCCCAAAGUCAUGGUUAAGUGGGAAACGAUGUGGGAAGGCAUAGACAGCCAGGAUGUUGGCUUAGAAGCAGCCAUCAUUUAAAGAAAGCGUAAUAGCUCACUGGUCGAGUCGGCCUGCGCGGAAGAUGUAACGGGGCUAAACCAUGCACCGAAGCUGCGGCAGCGACGCUUAGGCGUUGUUGGGUAGGGGAGCGUUCUGUAAGCCGUUGAAGGUGGCCUGUGAGGGUUGCUGGAGGUAUCAGAAGUGCGAAUGCUGACAUAAGUAACGAUAAAGCGGGUGAAAAGCCCGCUCGCCGGAAGACCAAGGGUUCCUGUCCAACGUUAAUCGGGGCAGGGUGAGUCGACCCCUAAGGCGAGGCUGAAAAGCGUAGUCGAUGGGAAACAGGUUAAUAUUCCUGUACUUGGUGUUACUGCGAAGGGGGGACGGAGAAGGCUAGGCUAGCCGGGCGACGGUUGUCCCGGUUUAAGCGUGUAGGGGGUGUGACCUGGUAAAUCCGGUUGCAUAUCAACCCUGAGGCGUGAUGACGAUGCACUACGGUGCAGAAGUAGUUGAUGCCCUGCUUCCAGGAAAAGCCUCUAAGCUCUAGGUAACAUUAAAUCGUACCCCAAACCGACACAGGUGGUCAGGUAGAGAAUACCAAGGCGCUUGAGAGAACUCGGGUGAAGGAACUAGGCAAAAUGGUGCCGUAACUUCGGGAGAAGGCACGCUGGCAUGUAGGUGAAGUCCCUUGCGGAUGGAGCUGAAGCCAGUCGAAGAUACCAGCUGGCUGCAACUGUUUAAUAAAAACACAGCACUGUGCAAACACGAAAGUGGACGUAUACGGUGUGACGCCUGCCCGGUGCUGGAAGGUUAAUUGAUGGGGUCAGCCGCAAGGCGAAGCUCUUGAUCGAAGCCCCAGUAAACGGCGGCCGUAACUAUAACGGUCCUAAGGUAGCGAAAUUCCUUGUCGGGUAAGUUCCGACCUGCACGAAUGGCGUAAUGAUGGCCAGGCUGUCUCCACCCGAGACUCAGUGAAAUUGAACUCGCUGUGAAGAUGCAGUGUACCCGCGGCAAGACGGAAAGACCCCGUGAACCUUUACUAUAGCUUGACACUGAACAUUGAGCCUUGAUGUGUAGGAUAGGUGGGAGGCUUUGAAGCGUGGACGCCAGUCUGCGUGGAGCCAUCCUUGAAAUACCACCCUUUAAUGUUUGAUGUUCUAACUCGGCCCCAUAAUCUGGGGUGAGGACAGUGUCUGGUGGGUAGUUUGACUGGGGCGGUCUCCUCCCAAAGAGUAACGGAGGAGCACGAAGGUUAGCUAAUCACGGUCGGACAUCGUGAGGUUAGUGCAAAGGCAUAAGCUAGCUUGACUGCGAGAGUGACGGCUCGAGCAGGUACGAAAGUAGGUCUUAGUGAUCCGGUGGUUCUGAAUGGAAGGGCCAUCGCUCAACGGAUAAAAGGUACUCCGGGGAUAACAGGCUGAUACCGCCCAAGAGUUCAUAUCGACGGCGGUGUUUGGCACCUCGAUGUCGGCUCAUCACAUCCUGGGGCUGAAGUAGGUCCCAAGGGUAUGGCUGUUCGCCAUUUAAAGUGGUACGCGAGCUGGGUUUAGAACGUCGUGAGACAGUUCGGUCCCUAUCUGCCGUGGGCGUUGGAAGAUUGAGAGGGGUUGCUCCUAGUACGAGAGGACCGGAGUGAACGCACCACUGGUGUUCGGGUUGUCAUGCCAAUGGCAUUGCCCGGUAGCUAAGUGCGGAAAAGAUAAGCGCUGAAAGCAUCUAAGCGCGAAACUUGCCU